UUUCACUGAGCAGGGCUUUUUCAUCAAAGAAGAUUAUGUCAACAAUAUUUUAUGACUCCUGAUACUGUAACUUGAAAAAGUAAAUAGUGAAAGUACUCCGGAUAUGUUGGAAGUGCUUUUGCAACCUGGAGGAAUACCUGAGAAGAGGCACUGCCACUGUGGUACAGAAACUGUAUGCCAAUUCAGUUGGCAUACAGGGAGUAAUUGAAUUGACCUGGAUAGGAGAGAGUGCAUGAUGAGAAAACUAUGAGAAAAUCUCUUGGGCUUGCUUCAGAGGCUGCUGUGUACAGAACAGAGAGAGAAGGUGGUAGCUUACUCUGGUCCUCAGGGCAACAGCCAUUGCAUGGAGGAAGAAAAGAGGGGCUGUGGCCAGUCCUGAAUCUGGGAAGGUGUUGUCCAGAAUUCCUGACCACCACAGAACAUCCCUUCCUGAUGUGUGAGGUGGAGCUAUGUGGCCUGAGUUAGGGGCAAUGGUUUCAGAAAGCUGAAGUGGAAACAAUGCUGGAUUGGAAAAAGUCAGAAAACUCUAGAGAAGACUGCAUUUGUGCUCUUUGUGGUCUUCCUGCUGUAAUGUUCCAGGCCAGGAUUGGUUCUUCUGGGUAUAACACAUGAGGGGAUUCAACCUGCAACUGGAAAGAAGGUAUCAAGCUAGGGAUGGGGAGAAAUUACCCAGGGCAAUCCAGUGCUGGGGAUUACACAAUGAAAAGUCCCUUAGACAGCAGUGUGGUGGAUACUUCCAACAUUCAUUCAGUAAAUAUCUUCUGGUGACCUGGUAUGGAUCUUUUAAUUCUGAGGCAAUCACAGAGAUGGCAGGUCACCAGUAGUUUCUAACUGAAGGUGGUAGUAACUGGCAAUGCAUUGCUUUGGGAUUGUAGGCAUUACAGCUAUUUUUUUCAAUAUGAACUUUAUAAUGUAGAACUAAGACCCCAGAAAAACCUCAUAGAUAUAAAAUUUUCCUCUCUAGCUAUUGAUGUCGGUUAGCAAUCUGAAAGCAGUUACCAUUACUAAUUCUAAAAAUGGAUUCAAAAUAGGAACACUUCCAAAUUAGAAGCAUUUUUUUAAAAGGAGUCUGAAUUCAAAAGUCUGACUUUAUCUUUAUCAAAUGCUUUUGGCAAUGUUGAAGAAAUCUUCUGGGAGAAAUGUAAUAAACAUUUCUUGGAGGGACAGCAUAGAGUGCAAACAUCUCAAACGUGAUUCACUUGCAUUUUCUGAACAAUGCUUUUGCCUACUCUGAGCUGUUGGUUCCAGUAUUUGGAGUUCUCAUGACAGAAAUCCAAAACCACUUCUAGAUUCUUCCCCCUCCAUGACCACCCUAAUGUUAUUCAUGCACUUGCUUUGCACAAACACCUCUUUCUGUGAUAAAACCUGGAACCUGAAAUCAAUGAAUACAGACAACACAAUAGCACUUGAACUUCUGACUUUAUUAUUUUUCUUCAAAUGAACAGGUGAUAAAACACUGUGUCCAAAGCAAAAUGCAUGACUCCCUUUUCUCUUCUUUCACAGAGUACCAGAAAAUGUAAACAAUAUUUAGCUUGAACUUCUGAGUCCUCAUCUUUUUUUUAACAGCCUUUAGAACAACAUUAAUUUGUUUGUUUAUACUAGCAUUUUACAACAUAAAAAAUAAAACAAGCAAACUGUCUGAGGGGUUUAUACAAAGUUUUCAGAUUCUGAUACAGGCUUGCAUCUGCAUCAUUUUUAGUCUGACAAAGAGAAACACUGCUUUAGGAAGUGGGUCAUGUGGGUGUAUAAGUGGUUCGUGGACAGGCCGGAUAAGCCGUGGUUCUGGUCAGAGUACCACUGAAACACAAAGAAAGAAGCUUGUUUUAUUCCUGCAGUCAUCAAAUGCAUUUAGCUUGGACUUUUUUGUGCUCUCAGGACCUGAUAAUCUUUCUAUUAUGGGGAAAUUGUACCUAAGAACACUCAAAUAAGUAAAAUAGCUUACAUGUAAAUAUUUACAGCAGGAAGAGCUUUCGUUAACCUCCACUACUGUUUCACAUGCUUUAAACAUAUUUUAGAUCUCAGUGGCUGAGAUCUCGCAUCAUCCAGCAUCCUGGAAGAUCAGGAUCAGGAAUCAGAGUUGCCAGAAGCUUUCAGCCUGUGAAUCUAAUUCCUCUCUGCUGCAGAAAAUCCACAAUAUAAUGUAUUCAUAUAUAGCCAUAAAUACCCUUUAUAGGAGUUAAAAAUAGCAUUUUACAAAAGUGAAAGAUAGUAUUUUAACUUUAAACUUCACUCUUGGAGAGAUGCCACUAAGAUUAUUGCUUUCACCGAAUAAAGGUAGCAGUGGUCACGAUGUAAUAAUAUAUAUUUACUAAGUUGAAUUUACUUUGGGGAUUACAAUAAAAAAGGUCAGAAAAAGCUCACCUCUUUGUAUAUUUUUAAAAAUGUUCUUGUUCAACUUAAGCAAUUGAGGGAGCAUUUGUGAGAGGAAAAGGUAGCUACCAAGAAUGCCGCCCCGCCCCCAACUUUGGCUUUCACUUUAUUUUCUUUUCUGGUUCCAUUUCUCAUUCCUCAAGCUACCCGGAUUUUACAUUUAGCUAAUUCAGUUCUCUAACCCCAAAUGGAGCCAUAUGAUUUCAGGGAGCCUUGGAGGUUUGUGAUGACAUUCUGCAACUGCUUCUUACUGAACAAACAGAAUCUUCUAGCUGUUUAAGGAUGCUCAGGUUUUGCAGGGACUCUUAGCAUAUAAUCGCACUUAUUC
rnacentral:lncRNA from 1 species